rnacentral:rRNA from 1 species
CGCUAUCAUCCUACGGGAGGCAGCAGUGGGGAAUAUUGCACAAUGGGGGAAACCCUGAUGCAGCCAUGCCGCGUGUGUGAAGAAGGCCUUCGGGUUGUAAAGCACUUUCAGUAGGGAGGAAGGUAGUGUAGUUAACACCUGCACUAUUUGACGUUACCUACAGAAGAAGCACCGGCUAACUCCGUGCCAGCAGCCGCGGUAAUACGGAGGGUGCGAGCGUUAAUCGGAAUUACUGGGCGUAAAGCGCAUGCAGGCGGCCUGUUAAGUCAGAUGUGAAAGCCCGGGGCUUAACCUCGGAAUUGCAUUUGAAACUGGCAGACUAGAGUACUGUAGAGGGGGUAGAAUUUCAGGUGUAGCGGUGAAAUGCGUAGAGAUCUGAAGGAAUACCGGUGGCGAAGGCGGCCCCCUGGACAGAUACUGACACUCAGAUGCGAAAGCGUGGGGAGCAAACAGGAUUAGAUACCCUGGUAG